UCAGAUGGGAUAAUGUGUGAGAGAGAUUUUAAAGUACACAAUGUCAGAUGAUAUUAUUAUACUAUUGUAUUAUACCUUAUUCUUUUCUCUGUACCUUUAGAGCUAUUAGUCUUCCCAGAGAGCAGUGGUUGGAAGGCAAACCGUAACUGAGACUUGCUCUGUCUUGGAGAAAAAGUCAAGAAAUGAAGAACAAAGGAGAGGCAUCUUCCUAAAACUGCUCUCUGACAAUAAUAUGCAUGACAUAAGAUUAAGGAAUAUCAUAGGAUCCCCACUUUCACUGAGCCUUGUGUGUGUUUGCACACAUAUGCAUGCACACAUAUACCCACCUCCAUCAGUUUGUAGUCUGGGAGGAAGGAGGAAGAGGGUCUGGAUGUUUUCACGGCUAUAGGAAUCUCUGCUGAAGUUUACCGAGUUGCCACUCAUGGCCUAGUGGAAACUUCAUCGUUAAUUUCUUUGACAGCCACUAAUCAGCUCAUUCCCUACAGACUGAGUUUUUCAGAAAUCAUCUCUCUGCUGUCACCUGUUGUGUUGAUCCACACAGUCACCAAUUAAUGUAAUUGGUGACUACCAGCUUGUUCUCCCUGUGCUGAUGCUCUUGCCAUACACCUGUAAGCCUGAGUCCUGUGGUCUGUGACUUCCUGGAACUCCAUGCAGCACAGGCCUUAUUUCCCCAGGCAGUGACUGCCAGUUAAACUGCCAGAGUGCUUGGCUGUGCUGUUUAAUAUUUCACAGCCUCUGCUCCAUGUGACCUAUUCUGUAAUAGGCAGCCUGAGCUUUCUCAUGCCUCUUGUUUCUCUGUGGAUAUUCAAGAUCAUCCAAGGACAUUUGCAAGGUGUUACUCCAGGUCUGUGCAUGCACCCUGUUGUAUGCAAUGCCCUAUGGAGCCAGAAGAGGAGAAACUGCUGCUACCUGAAAAUGCAACCCACCUCUGACCUGGGUUCCUCAGUGGGUUCAUCCUCCAAUGAUGCAGCAGUGCUGAAGGGGAGUCUGGAGGACUUCAUCCCUCAAGCAUCCCAGCAAGAGACCUUCACCUCCAAAGAAGGUGGAAGGGACAAGAAAGAGAACACUACUGAACUCUCCAUCUGGACCUCUUCUUUCCUCUGGCCAAGGCUCUUUAGUGCUAUAAACACAAAAGACUGGCAAAAGAACAAGAUUCAAGAGACUGCUGUUCUCUUCUGAGGAGGGAGGGAAGGAAACAAUUGUUGAGCUCUACAAUGCUUUAUGCCUUGUGCUUUGCUCAUUCAACUUUCAUCUCUUGCACAGUCUCCAUGAGCCAGGUACUUUAUAUAUCUUUACUUGCAAUCCUCACAACAACCUUAUAAAGUGCAUGUGGUUCACAGAAUUAUUUAAGGAUUGUCUCCCAAAGGUAUUCAGAUCUAAAUCCUCAGAAUCUGUGAGUAUAUUACCUUACAUGGCAAAGGGGAUUUUGCAGAUGUGGUUAAGUUAGGGAACUCAAGAUGGGAAGAUUUCCUGGAUCAUCUGAGUAGCCCCAAUAUAAUUACAAGGACACUUAUCAAUGAAAAUAGGAGGCAGGACAGUCACAGUGGCAGAAAGAACUCAACAGAUGCCAAGUCAAUAUGAUGUGAUUUAAGAAAGAACUGACCUGCCAUUGCUGCCUUUGAAGAUGGAAGGAAGCCACAGAAUCUGCAUGACCUCCACAAGCUGGAUCAGGGAAGGAAAAACAGAAGGAACGCAUCCCAGAUGCCAUCUUAAAUUAGCCACAUGGGACCCUUUUUGGACUUCUGGCCUUUAGACUGCUAAAAUAAUAAAUUUGUUUAUUCGAAUCCACCAUGGCAGUUGUAAUUUCUUAGAAUAUCAAUAAAGGCUUAAUACAGUAGAUAUCUUUGUCUCCAUU
rnacentral:lncRNA from 1 species